rnacentral:rRNA from 1 species
ACGGGAGGCAGCUGCUAAGACUAUUCCGCAAUGGGGGAAACCCUGACGGAGCGACGCCGCGUGGACGAUGAAGGCCGGAAGGUUGUAAAGUCCUUUUACGGCAGAGGAAUAAGCGGGGGAGUGGAAAGCCCCUGUGAUGACUGUAGGCCAUGAAUAAGCACCGGCUAAUUACGUGCCAGCAGCCGCGGUAACCCGUAAGGUGCGAGCGCUGUUCGGAAUCAUUGGGCGUAAAGGGCAUGUAGGCGGUCUGUCAAGCCAGGCGUGAAAGCCGGGGGCUCAACCCCCGAACUGCGCUUGGAACUGGCGGACUGGAGUCGCUGAGGGGGAACCGGAAUUCCUGGUGUAGGGGUGAAAUCGGUAGAUAUCAGGAAGAACACCGAUGGCGAAGGCAGGUUUCGAGCAGACGACUGACGCUGAGGUGCGAAGGUGCGGGGAGCAAACAGGAUUAUAUUCCCGGGUA